rnacentral:snoRNA from 1 species
CAUGUGGUUAAUGAUGCGUAAUCUUUUUUCCCCAUCUUAUCGACAGUGGUGAAAACCAUCUGAAAAUAAGCCAACAAAGUCUGAAACCACAUC